AGAACGAACGCUGGCGGCAUGCCUAACACAUGCAAGUCGAACGAGACCUUCGGGUCUAGUGGCGCACGGGUGCGUAACGCGUGGGAAUCUGCCCUUGGGUUCGGGAUAACAGUUGGAAACGACUGCUAAUACCGGAUGAUGUCUUCGGACCAAAGAUUUAUCGCCCAAGGAUGAGCCCGCGUAGGAUUAGCUUGUUGGUGAGGUAAGAGCUCACCAAGGCGACGAUCCUUAGCUGGUCUGAGAGGAUGAUCAGCCACACUGGGACUGAGACACGGCCCAGACUCCUACGGGAGGCAGCAGUGGGGAAUAUUGGACAAUGGGCGAAAGCCUGAUCCAGCAAUGCCGCGUGAGUGAUGAAGGCCUUAGGUGUAAAGCUCUUUUACCCGGGAUGAUAAUGACAGUACCGGAGAAUAAGCCCCGCUAACUCCGUGCCAGCGAGCCGC
rnacentral:rRNA from 1 species